UCCUAUAGGCCUACAGCUGACUGGCGGGAAGUUCAGAUCUUGUGUCCUGACGCCAGCGCUUUGCGGUCCGUCAGGGAGCUCCAGAUUUCCCUCAAGCGGCUAAUUCUGUGGUUUCAUGGGGUUGGGAGCCAAGCUGAGAACCGAGGUCACAGGGCAACUCACCACCCUGAAAUCUGGAGAUCGAGGUAAAUCCAGGGAGCCAUGGCCAAGACCUACUUACCUGGGGCAGAAGCCACUGAAGCCAUAAACUAGGAACACUUACAUGGUAAUUUUGAUGAAUUGCUGGAGACUGAGCGUGGAAUAGCAUGAGUGAAACUACUGGAGGCUGCAGAUUUAGAGCAUCCCUGACACUUCUGUGGGUUUUUCCUCCAGGAAGCCCAGCAGGUUCUCACAAAGAAGAACCAAGAAAGAUCUCCUGUGGCUCUGGCAGAGGGAUGAGAAGAAUAAUCAUUGUGCAAUAUGCCCAGAACCUUCUCAAUAAUAAAGGCCUACUUUCCAAAGGAAAAGAUUUUACCAGAUCCUUAUCCCACCAGGGGCAAGGACAUUCCUCUGACUACAGUCUCGUCCACCCUUCCUGUCUCUCCUAAGCGCAGAAAGGGGAGCUAAGAAACACUUGUAUAGGUCACAGCCCAGGGACACAGCCCUACUAAAAGAGAUUUAAUCAUAAAAUUGUAGAACGCUUUCCCUUUCCAACACUUUACCACCAUGUCAACAGCACUCUGGUAUAAUAACAGAUGAUUACAGAUGGAAGUGCUGCAAAACACUCUGUCUAACAAGGAACUUUUAGGGAAAUCCAAAGACAACAGGAGAUCAAAAAAACGCUAGAGGAAUUUGAAGCUCCGGAACCUACAGCUACAGCAAACAUUAAAUACAACCCAAGUCCCGGCCACAUAAUAAAAAACCUCACACUAAAGCUCUAUUUACCUCAGUUCCUGUUACCCAAUAUAUCACAUCUAGUUUUCAACAAAAAACUACAAGGCUAAAGGCAAGUUGAUAAAAGGCAAGUAAAAACAGCAUCAGAAUUGGACUCAGCUAUGACACAGAUUUGGGGAUUAUUAAACAGGAAUUGAAGAUAACUAUGAUUAAUAUACUAAGGGAUCUGAUGGAAAAUGUGGACAACAUACAGGAACAGAUGGGUUACGUGAGCAGAGAAAUGGAGACUCUAAGAAAGAAUCCAAAGGAAAUUCUAGAAAUCAAAGACACUAACAAAUGAAGAAUGCCUUUGAUAGGCUCAUCAGUAGACUGGACACCACUGAGGAGAGAACCAGUGAGCCUGAAGAUGUGUCAAUAGAAACUUCCCAAACUGAAAUGCAAAGAGGUUAACAGCAAAUAGAUAACCCUACCGGGAUUUUCAGACCUCACCUUAGACUCAAAUUGUUCUCCUACAUUAGAAGAGGACUUGUGGGUGGUGGGGGGUGGCAGGUGGUAUUGUCAAUGUUUUCAGUUUUUGGGGGGUCUUAUUAUAAACCCAAUUACCACAAAAGUAAAACUGACUACAGGGUGUGUACACUGCAAGAAUAUUUUGAAAGCAGGAUGCAACCGUUAUGUUCAUUUAAUCCCAUUAGUCUAGCAACUUCCACAAGAACUUUUUACAAAAAAACAUGGCUUAUGUAUAGCUUCUCAUAAAGUAGCCUCUAAUUAAACCUUGUUGGCUGGGCCGUCACCAGAAAUUUUUGUUUUGAACACGGAUGCAUCCCAAGCAUUUAGAAUAGUGCCUGGCAUACAAUAGGUGAUAAAGAUUUGUGAAAUGAACAAAUGAUUGAAACUAUAUUACUGUUAUGAACAUAGGAGAAAGCUCUACUCAGAAAUAACUUGGAAGAAAUAUGGUUCUUCAUCAGAGUUUUAUCUAUUUAUAUUUUCAAAAAGCCAACUUAUGGCUUUGUUAAUUUUUUUCUUUUGUUUCUCUAUUUCCAAGUCCAUUUUUUCCUUCUCUUACCAUCAUUAUUUCCUUCUCUGCUUGCUGUGGGUUUAAUUUGCUCUUCUUUUUAUAGUUUCAUAAGGUGGAAGCUUAAAUCUUUAUUGAAGACCAUUCUUUUCAAAUAUAAAUGUAUACAAUGUAUAAAUAUAUACAAAUUUUCCUCUAUGCUCUUGCUUUAGCUGCCCCUCAGAUUUUAAUAUGUUGUGCUUUUUCAUUCACUCAAUUAAAAAUAUUUAAAGACUU